UGGGGAAUAUUGCACAAUGGGCGCAAGCCUGAUGCAGCAACGCCGCGUGAACGAUGAAGGUCUUCGGAUCGUAAAGUUCUGUUGCAGGGGAAGAUAAUGACGGUACCCUGUGAGGAAGCCCCGGCUAACUACGUGCCAGCAGCCGCGGUAAUACGUAGGGGGCUAGCGUUAUCCGGAUUUACUGGGCGUAAAGGGUUCGCAGGCGGAAUAACAAGUCAGAUGUGAAAGGCAUGGGCUCAACCCAUGUAAGCAUUUGAAACUGUAAUUCUUGAGAAGUGGAGAGGUAAGUGGAAUUCCUAGUGUAGCGGUGAAAUGCGUAGAUAUUAGGAGGAAUACCUGUGGCGAAGGCGACUUACUGGACACAAAUCUGACGCUGAGGAACGAAAGCGUGGGUAGCAAACAGG
rnacentral:rRNA from 1 species